rnacentral:lncRNA from 1 species
UCUAAUUCAGGUUUUGAGCGUGCAAGAAAGCAGUCUAAGAGUAGUCCAAAUAUGUGUUACAUUUGAAAUCAGAGCGGAAAUGUGUACAAGAUUACGAGAAAAUGUAAUUGAGCUCAACAACAUUACAUGAAAAUGUAAUUGAGCUCAUUUGAGUACCUUUUCUUUGUUUUUGGAUUGAUUAUGCAACCAUAUGAUUGUAUAUGUAGCAGUAUUGGAUGUAUGGAUCUCUGAUACAAUCAGAGUAUUUUAUUUCUCA